GGCGGGAGCUGCUGGGACUCUGAACGCGGAGCGCCUGCCUCUGCUGAGCUCUCUGCCAGCGGAGCGCUGGCGCCGGCCCUGUUCUCGGGGAACCACAGUGGCGGGCAGGAUUUCGGGGAGGCCAGCUCGGCCUCAGGCACCAAGGAGCCGGCGCCCCCAGAGCUCUGGGCCCCCCUGCUCUUUUUUUCAAAAAUAUUUUUUUAUUGAUUUCAGAGAGGAAGGGAGAGGGAGCGAGAUAGAAACGUCAAUGAUGAGAACCAUUGAUCAGCUGCCUCCCGCAUGCCCCACACUGGGGAUGGAGCUGCAACCCAGGCAUGUGCCCUGAAUGGGAAUCCAACGUGGCCUCCUGGCUCAUAGGUCAAUGUUCAACCACUGAGCAACCCGGCUGGCUGGGCGGUUCAGCCGGAGCUCCUGGCGCUGCUGAGCGUUGGCCACAGCCUGCUGGCGCUCGCCCUCCACUGCCAGUGCGGCAGCGGCACGCCCACCCACCGCCUCCUGGCCGACUGGGCCCCGGCGACCUGCUGCGGUCCUUCUUGGGGGUCCACGUCUCCUUCGUGGCCUGCCUGCGGAGCGGCUGGGUCUGACGGGUUCAGCAGCAGCCUCUUGGGAAACCAUUUCUGAUGACAUCGUGUUCCUGCUGUAACAUGGCAAAGCAGCUUUUCACGACAUGAACGAGAACUACACAGCCGUGGAACUGACAUGCUGGAGUGUGGAAGCCAGUUUCAGGGCGCGCUUGCCAAGCUGACUGGCGAGAGAACAUGAGUGCCAAGAAUAUUUGUCAAUGGACUUUCAUUGGAGGUGCCACC